AUCUGGAAAGGAAUCAAGAAUGAGAAAAGCCACAGAUGAGAAAAUGCCAAAGAGUAAGACGUUGGGGUAAAGGAGAGAGGUAAUGGGACUUCCUUUUAUUCGGUGGCCAGAGGUGACACACGGAAGGGAAUUAUUUGGAAGAGAAUACCUGACGUAUCUUUUGUACAAAGCAUUGUGGGGAUACGCCUGACCAAUGGCCCCCAGCGGCUUCUGGCUUUCUCACAGAGCUUUGUAAAGAGGAAGUGAGAGUCCUGCACCAGUCGGGACGGAUUCCUGAUGUUCAGAGCAACGAUGUGGACCCUGGUUGAGUUGGGGGCUCCCUCUGGGCAAGGGCAGCCACUGGCCUUGCAGCAGGGUACCAAGGACCUUGUUUGGGUCUCCCCAGAAUCAUAGAAAGCCAUAUUUUCAUCCCUUGUUGCUCUCCUCCUCCCACAAAUUUAACAGUAAUAAUCCUCAUGAAAAUAGGGCUUAUCUUAAUACAAGCUUUAUAGUUUAUAAAUUGAUGCUUUCAACAACCCUGAGAGAAAGACAGGGUAGAUAAUGUUAGUGAAUCUCUGGGGUUAAGGUCAUACUGCUAGUAAGCGGCUGAAAUAAAAAUAGAAACCAGAUCUUGUAACUUUUCACUUUUUUCAGCUACGCCACACUGUAGUCUGGGAGCCGAAGCUAAAUGGGACUCAUCUAAACCAACCCCCCCUUUUACAGAUGAAGCAGCUGAGGCAGCAGCCUGGUAAAGUGGAAAGAACCCAGAUACCGCAGCACAGAUAUUUUAAGACAAAACAUGGCCACCGCAUCCCACAGAUGAAUGAUCUUGUGUGUGUGCAGAGGAGCACCAUGUGUUGAACGGAGCCUACAGAGAAAAGCAUGCAAUAGCCCUGGUGUUUGUCAGAUGAACACAUGGACCAGAAUAACCAGGACUGUGACGGAUGCCCCACAGGAGUGCCUGAUCUCUUUCUAGAGAAGCCCUAAAAGACAGAGAAGGACUUGCUCCCAGGAAGUCUGAGGCAUGGUCCAAAGUGGCCCGCAACAAAUGGGAAGUUUCACUGAAGCUUCUUGUCUUCGUUUCGGUUUUUCCUAAGCUUUUUGAUUUGUUUUAUUUUAUUAUAGUAUAGUUCACCCACAGUGUCACGUUAGUCCCAGAUAUACAGCAGUGGUUGAGCAGCUCUGCAUUAUGCUGUAUGCUCAUCUCAGGUGUAGGCGCCAUCUGUCCCCAUGCAUCGCUGUUACACUGCCACUGACCGUGUUCCCUGUGCUGUACCUUUUAUCCUCGUGACUUACGCAUUCAGUAACUGGAAGCCCGGAUCGCCCCCCCCACCCCCCCCCGCCCACUGCCCCUUCACCCAUUUUGUCCAGCCCCUCACUCCCUUCCCCUCUGG